rnacentral:rRNA from 1 species
GGCAUGACAGUCGUAGCAAUACCAUGGGUGGCGAGUGGCGGAGGGGUGAGGAAUACAUCGGGACCUGCCCAGACGUGGGGGAUAACGUAGGGAAACUUACGCUAAUACCGCAUACGUCCUACAGGAGAAAGCGGGGGAUCGCAAGACCUCGCGCGGUUGGAUGGACCGAUGUUCGAUUAGCUAGUUGGUGAGGUAAUGGCUCACCAAGGCGACGAUAGAUAGCUGGUCUGAGAGGAUGAUCAGCCACACUGGGACUGAGACACGGCCCAUACUCCUACGGGAGGCAGCACUGGGGAAUAUUGGACAAUGGGCGCAAGCCUGAUCCAGCAAUGCCGCGUGUGUGAAGAACGCCUUCGGGUUGUAAAGCACUUUUAUCAGGAGCGAAAUACGAUGGGCUAAUACCCCGUCGGGCUGACGGUGCCUGAGGAAUAAGCACCGGCUAACUUCGUGCCAGCAGCCGCGGUAAUACGAAGGGUGCAAGCGUUAAUCCGAAUUACUGGGCGAUGAAGCCUGCGUAGGCGGUGAUUUAAGUCUGCUGUGAAGUCCCCGGGCUCAACCUGGGAAUGGCAGUGGAUACUGGAUCGCUAGGGUGUGAUAGAGGGUGGUGGAGUUCCCGGUGUACCGCUGAAAUGCGUAGAGAUCGGGAGGAACAUCAGUGGCGAAAGUGGCCAUCUGGAUCAUCACUGACGCUGAGGCACAACCGCGUGUGGAGCAGACAUGAUUAGAUACUCUGGUAGUCCACGCCCUAAACAAUGCGAACUGUAUGUUGAUCUCUACUCUGAGAUCAGUGUCGAAGCUGACGAGUUAAGUUCGCCUCCCGUGGAGUACCGCUCCAAGACUGAAACUCAGAUGAUGUGACCGUC